AUUGAACGAUGGCGGCAGGCCUAACACAUGCAAGUCGAGCGAGCGGCGGACGGGUGAGUAAUGUAUGGGGACUGCCCGAUAGAGGGGGAUAACUACUGGAAACGGUGGCUAAUACCGCAUACUAUCGGAUCACACAUAUGGGAUUAGCUAGUAGGUGGGGUAAAGGCUCAACUAGGCGACGAUCGCUAGCUGGUCUGAGAGGAUGAGCAGUCACACGGGGACUGAGACACGGCCCGUAAUCCUACGGAGGCAGCAGUGGGGAAUAUUGCACAAGUGGCGCAAGCCCGAUGCAGCCAUGCCGCCUUUAUGAAGAAGGCCUUAGGGUUUUAAAGUACUUUCAGCUGGGAGGCGUUACCCGCAGAAGAAGCACCGGCUAACUCCGUGCCAGCAGCCGCGGUAAUAC
rnacentral:rRNA from 1 species